GCGUGCCUUUUGUAGAAUGAACCGGCGAGUUACGAUUUGUUGCAAGGUUAAGCGGAAAAAGCGGAGCCGUAGCGAAAGCGAGUCUGAAUAGGGCGCAUAAGUAACAGGUCGUAGACCCGAAACCAGGUGAUCUACCCAUGUCCAGGAUGAAGGUAAGGUAAUACUUACUGGAGGUCCGAACCCACGCACGUUGAAAAGUGCGGGGAUGAGGUGUGGGUAGCGGAGAAAUUCCAAUCGAACUUGGAGAUAGCUGGUUCUCUCCGAAAUAGCUUUAGGGCUAGCCUCGAGGUAAAGAGUCAUGGAGGUAGAGCACUGUUUGGACUAGGGGCCCUUCUCGGGUUACCGAAUUCAGAUAAACUCCGAAUGCCAUGUACUUAUACUCGGGAGUCAGACUGCGAGUGAUAAGAUCCGUAGUCGAAAGGGAAACAGCCCAGACCACCAGUUAAGGUCCCCAAAUAUAUGUUAAGUGGAAAAGGAUGUGGGGUUGCUUAGACAACCAGGAUGUUGGCUUAGAAGCAGCCACCAUUGAAAGAGUGCGUAAUAGCUCACUGGUCGAGUGACCCCGCGCCGAAAAUGUACCGGGGCUAAACAUAUUACCGAAACUGUGGAUGAACCUCUUUAGAGGUUCGUGGUAGGAGAGCGUUCUAAGGGCGGUGAAGUCAGACCGGAAGGACUGGUGGAGCGCUUAGAAGUGAGAAUGCCGGUAUGAGUAGCGAAAGAAGGGUGAGAAUCCCUUCCACCGAAUAUCUAAGGUUUCCUGAGGAAGGCUCGUCCGCUCAGGGUUAGUCGGGACCUAAGCCGAGGCCGAUAGGCGUAGGCGAUGGACAACAGGUAGAGAUUCCUGUACCAGUGCUAAUUGUUUAACCGAUGGGGUGACACAGAAGGAUAGGGAAUCGCACGAAUGGAAAUGUGCGUCCAAGCAGUGAGUGUGAGAAGUAGGCAAAUCCGCUUCUCGCGAAGCAUGAGCUGUGAUGGGGAAGGAAAUUAAGUACGGAAGUUCCUGAUUUCACGCUGUCAAGAAAAGCCUCUAGGAAGAGUAGUACUGCCCGUACCGCAAACCGACACAGGUAGAUGAGGAGAGAAUCCUAAGGUGAGCGAGAGAACUCUCGUUAAGGAACUCGGCAAAAUGACCCCGUAACUUCGGGAGAAGGGGUGCUCUAUUAGGGUGCAAGCCCGAGAGAGCCGCAGUGAAUAGGCCCAGGCGACUGUUUAGCAAAAACACAGGUCUCUGCAAAACCGUAAGGUGACGUAUAGGGGCUGACGCCUGCCCGGUGCUGGAAGGUUAAGAGGAGUGCUUAGCUUCGGCGAAGGUACGAAUUGAAGCCCCAGUAAACGGCGGCCGUAACUAUAACGGUCCUAAGGUAGCGAAAUUCCUUGUCGGGUAAGUUCCGACCCGCACGAAAGGCGCAACGAUCUGGGCACUGUCUCAACGAGAGACUCGGUGAAAUUAUAGUACCUGUGAAGAUGCAGGUUACCCGCGACAGGACGGAAAGACCCCGUGGAGCUUUACUGCAACCUGAUAUGGAAUGUUUGUACCGCUUGUACAGGAUAGGUAGGAGCCGAAGAGACGUGUGCGCUAGCAUACGAGGAGGCAAUGGUGGGAUACUACCCUGGCUGUAUGACCAUUCUAACCCGCCACGCUUAGCGCGUGGGGAGACAGUGUCAGGUGGGCAGUUUGACUGGGGCGGUCGCCUCCUAAAGAGUAACGGAGGCGCCCAAAGGUUCCCUCAGAAUGGAUGGAAAUCAUUCGCAGAGUGUAAAGGCACAAGGGAGCUUGACUGCGAGACUGACAAGUCGAGCAGGGACGAAAGUCGGGCUUAGUGAUCCGGUGGUUCCGCAUGGAAGGGCCAUCGCUCAACGGAUAAAAGCUACCCCGGGGAUAACAGGCUUAUCUCCCCCAAGAGUCCACAUCGACGGGGAGGUUUGGCACCUCGAUGUCGGCUCGUCGCAUCCUGGGGCUGUAGUCGGUCCCAAGGGUUGGGCUGUUCGCCCAUUAAAGCGGCACGCGAGCUGGGUUCAGAACGUCGUGAGACAGUUCGGUCCCUAUCCGUCGCGGGCGCAGGAAAUUUGAGAGGAGCUGUCCUUAGUACGAGAGGACCGGGAUGGACACACCGCUGGUGUACCAGUUGUUCCGCCAGGAGCAUCGCUGGGUAGCUAUGUGUGGCAGGGAUAAACGCUGAAAGCAUCUAAGCGUGAAGCCCCCCUCAAGAUGAGAUUUCCCAUUUCUUCGGAAAGUAAGAUCCCUGAAAGAUGAUCAGGUAGAUAGGUUUGGAGUGGAAGUGUAGCGAUACAUGGAGCGGACAAAUACUAAUCGAUCGAGGACUUAACCAAAA
rnacentral:rRNA from 1 species